CAGGAAAUAGUUUAAAAAAUAUUAAUUUUGGAGAUUAAAGAUGAGUAUCAUUUCUUUCCUGA
rnacentral:tRNA from 1 species